rnacentral:lncRNA from 10 species
CAGACGGGGCGGCUGGCCGGGCAGGGGGCUGACCCCCCCCACUGGACUGAGAUUUUUAAACCUCCCUCAUAGCCACAGUGGAGGAGCUGUGGACAGAGUACAGCCUUGUCCGGGCACUGCCCGUCGUCUCCUGGCUCAGGGGGAUCUAGCCCCAGCCACUGCCACUAGAGUGGAAUGAGGUUUCCUGUGGGAUCGGACGAGGGGGUGACUGCUUUCCUGUUCCAGAGGCCACCUGGGAACCGACGGUGUCCACUGAUGGACGUUUUCCUGGGCUGAAGUAUUUCAGAUGCCCAGUGUACUCCCAGCCCUCACAGCGGUCAGUUCUGCUUCACGGGUUUCCCACAUGAUUUGGCUAAGACGUCAGCCGGCAAAGACGCUUGGGUUGGCUUUAGACAUUACGAAUAAAAGGAAGCUGCGGGAGGCGGUCAAAGUCUGAGACAUGACAGGUCAAAGCUGAAAUCACAGGGGGCUGCGUUGCCUUUUGAUGGGAGAGCCAGAGGCUGCAUUCCGAAGAUUGCACGAUGCCAGCUCCCAACUGCGAGGGGGCAGAUUUGUUGGAAUUUCUCAAAUCCAGUCUUUGAUACAUGCGUUGUUCCUUCAAUUGCUAAUAAACGGUCUUGGGGAGAAAAAAGUGGAAAACAGCAUCUUCCUGUCCUCUCAGAGGAGCACAGGUGAUGAUGGCCUCCCAGGACGGUGCUAGGCUGUGCACAGGCUGGCCCUCCCUUUGUGAACUUUCUGUUCUUUCUGGCGACAUGCUUGCUGUGUGCUGGGAGCUCACCGUGGAAAGCCCCAGGCAUUGCUGCUCCUGUCUCCUGACGUGCAUGUGGCUCAGCUGUAAACAUCUUUACCCUUCAUGCUGACUUAAUACUGAUUGUCGGGUGAGAGUUCACUUGGAAACACAUCAUCCUAGGUGGAGAUGGUGCCGCUCACCCCAGAGGGGCGUCUUGUUCAGUGGGUUGUGCUCAUGGGGGUGGGACCCUGUGUCUGCACACUCACUCCCUAUGCUGGGCAUGCCCCCAGGCCUGGGGGAACGCCUCUGCUGCUGGACCCAGAGCUCUCCGGGGCCGUAGGCACAUCUGUCUUGUCCUGAGCCUCCACUGCCACAUGCAGCCCAUGAUUCAGCUCAUCCGUGUGGCUGCCUCCUGGUGCGGGCAGGCUCUGGGUGUGCAGGCUGACCAGGGUGGACGUGGCCUCCAACCGUGGGGCCUCAGGGACUGCUCUGUGUGACAGGAGGGUGGGUUGGUGGGCUUUCUGGGGGUCCCGUGCAUGGAGACCAGGCUGGCUGCACACCAACCAGGACUAACAGUAGAUGCCGUCAGGCCGGGUACAGUGGCUCAUGCCUGUGAUCCCAGCACUUUGGGAGGCUGAGGCGGGUGGAUCACGAGGUCAGGAGAUCGAGACCAUCCU